rnacentral:lncRNA from 1 species
UAGGAUUUGAUUAGGAUUUGAUAAAGAUUUGGUUUAGAAUUAGGAUUUGAUUAAGAUUUGGUUAGGAUUUGAUUUAGGAUUUAAGUUUUAGAGUUUAAUUGGAAUUUUGUUAGGAUUCAGGAUUUUUUUAAGAUCUAAUUAGGAUUUGGUUUAGGAUCUAGGAUUUAAUUAGGAUUUGGUUUAAGAUUUAAAAUUUAGGAUUUGAUUAGAAUUUGAUUAGAAUUUGGAAUUUAUCUAGAAUUUAAUUAGGAUUUGAUUAGGAUUUAGAAUUUAUUUAGGAUUUGAUUAGGGUUUGAUUUAGAAUUUAGGAUUUAGUUAGUAUUUGAUUUAGGAUUCAAUUUAGAAUCUAGAAUUUAUCUAAGAUUUGAAAUUUGUCUAGAAUUUGGUUAGGGUUUGAUUUAGAGUUUAGGAUUUGUCUAGGAUUUGGUUUAGAUUUUAGGAUUUAAUUAAGAUUUGACCUAAAGUUUGAUUGAAGUUCAUUAGGAUUUUAACUAAGAUUAAAUUAGUAUUUAAUUGAAUUUUUUUUAAAAUAUAUUUGUAAUUAUUAUAAGAUUUCUUUAGGAUUUCUUAAGGAUUUUUUUAAGAUUUAUUGUAGAUAAUCUUUGAAUUCCUUUAAGAUU